rnacentral:misc_RNA from 1 species
CAGAGUUGCAAAACUCCCUAAACCAUUGUGGACGUUACCUAAACCAUUGCUUCGGCGGGCGGCCCGGGUCCUUCCCGGCGCCCCUCGGCCCUCGCGGGCGCCCGCCGGAGGUAAACCAAACUAUUGCAUUGUAUGGCCUCUCUGAGUCUUCUGUACUGAAUAAGUCA